UCCUGGUUAACCCAGGCAGUCUCAUUAGAGUCCCCACCUUAAAUGUUGGCAACUAAUGAUAAGGGUUGCGCUCGUUGCGGGACUUAACCCAACACCUCACGGCACGAGCUGACGACAGCCAUGCAGCACCUAUACAAAGGUCCUUACGGAACACGCCGUUUCUGGCGCUGUCCUCUGUACUUCGAGCCUGGGUAAGGUUCUUCGCGUUGCGUCGAAUUAAACCACAUGCUCCACUGCUUGUGCGGGCCCCCGUCAAUUCUUUUGAGUUUCACCCUUGCGAGCGUACUCCUCAGGCGGUAUACUUAUCGCGUUCGCUUCGACACAGCCAGGGUUGAGCCCAGCUACAUCAAGUAUACAUCGUUUACGGCAAGGACUAC
rnacentral:misc_RNA from 1 species